AUACGGAGGGUGCAAGCGUUAUCCGGAAUCACUGGGUUUAAAGGGUGCGUAGGCGGUUUCAUAAGUCAGUUGUGAAAUCGUGUGGCUUAAUCAUGCAAUUGUGAUUGAUAUUGUGAAGCUUGAAUAAGGUUGAGGUAGGCGGAAUGUGACAUGUAGCGGUGAAAUGCUUAGAUAUGUCAUAGAACACCGAUUGCGAAGGCAGCUUAUUGGGCCUGAAUUGACGUUGAGGCACGAAAGCGUGGGGAUC
rnacentral:rRNA from 1 species